UGUACAAGUCUAGCAUCUCGUUGUUCUACUUCUAUUUAAAAUUAACACGAUAAACAGAUAUUGAUCCUUCAUUUGAAACAAAAAAGUCAACUGCAUAUUUAGUGUUCUGAUUUCGGAAACAUCAGAAUGGGUGACUUGAAGCCUCAGCAACAAGAAGCUGAGAUGAAAGGUUGGUUAUACAAAUGGACAAAUUAUUUGAAAGGAUACCAGAAACGUUGGUUUGUACUUUCAAAUGGGCUAUUAUCAUACUAUAGGAAUCAAGCUGAGAUGGCUCAUUCCUGUAGGGGAACCAUAAGUUUGGUGAAUGCUGUCAUCUAUACUGUUGAUUCAUCAAACUUUAUCAUAUCAAAUGGUGGUGCCCAAACUUUCCAUUUAAAGGCUUCUAGUGAGGUUGAACGUCAGAGGUGGGUGACUGCUUUGGAACUGGCUAAAGCCAGAGCUAUUCGUAUAACUG